rnacentral:rRNA from 1 species
GAUGAACGCUGGCGGCGUGCCUAAUACAUGCAAGUCGAGCGAACAGAUGAGGAGCUUGCUCCUCUGACGUUAGCGGCGGGCGGGUGAGUAACACGUGGAUAACCUACCUAUAAGACUGGGAUAACUUCGGGAAACCGGAGCUAAUACCGGAUAAUAUAUUGAACCGCAUGGUUCAAUAGUGAAAGACGGUUUUGCUGUCACUUAUAGAUGGAUCCGCGCCGCAUUAGCUAGUCGGUAAGGUAACGGCUUACCAAGGCAACGAUGCGUAGCCGACCUGAGAGGGUGAUCGGCCACACUGGAACUGAGACACGGUCCAGACUCCUACGGGAGGCAGCAGUAGGGAAUCUUCCGCAAUGGGCGAAAGCCUGACGGAGCAACGCCGCGUGAGUGAUGAAGGUCUUCGGAUCGUAAAACUCUGUUAUUAGGGAAGAACAAAUGUGUAAGUAACUAUGCACGUCUUGACGGUACCUAAUCAGAAAGCCACGGCUAACUACGUG